rnacentral:rRNA from 1 species
AUUGAACGCUAGCGGCAGGCCUAACACAUGCAAGUCGAGCGAGCGGCGGACGGGUGAGUAAUGUCUGGGAACCUGCCUGAUAGAGGGGGAUAACUCCUGGAAACGGUAGCUAAUACUGCAUACCAUCAGAUGUGCCCAGAUGGGAUUAGCUAGUAGGUGAGGUAACGUAUCACCUAGGCGACGAUCCCUAGCUGGUCUGAGAGGAUGACAAGCCACACUGGAACUGAGACACGGUCCAGACUCGUACGGGAGGCAGCAGUGGGGAAUAUUGCACAAUGGGCGCAAGCCUGAUGCAGCCAUGCAGCGUGUGUGAAGAAGGCCUUCGGGUUGUAAAGCACUUUCAGCGGGGAGGCGUUACCCGCAGAAGAAGCACCGGCUAACUCCGGGCCAGCAGCCGCGGUAAUUC